AUUUUAUUAUUAUUUUAUGAACUAAAUUAUAGAAAAUAUUCUUAUAAAUACACAUUUUUUUCACUGUUUUUUAAUUUUUAAAUACUAUAUUUUACUCUCUCUCAAUAUUUGAAAUUGUUGUAUUUUAUUUUUUAUAUUUAUACCGAAAAUAUCCUUUAAAAUAACAAAUAUAUUAAAAAAAUAUUUUUUUAUAAAAUAAAUAAGAAUAAUUUGAUUAUAUUGCCCCCUCUAUUAAUAUCGUGCUUUUCUAAACAUAUUUUUAAAUUUUAAAAAUAUAAAAUAUAAAUUUUUGAAAGUUAAAAAGGUCAAAUAAAAAAACUGAUAUUUACUAGGAGUCCCUGUAAUUUAGCUUUAUUUUAGGAAAAAUUUCAAAUAUCACCUAUGUAGUUUCAUACUUUCUCACUUUAGUACUCUGCGAUUUAAAGUGUAUCAAUUUAGUGUCCUAUGGUUUUAUUUUUAUCUUUUUAUUAUCGAUUCCACUAAUUUUUUUUAUUAAAUUAAUGACAAAGUUAAAACUGAAGGGUAAUGAAGUGAAUAUUCGAUAAACCUAGAUGGGGUUAUUUGAAGUUUUGGUAUAUAAUUUAACAAAAUAUUAACGAAAAAAGCUGACGAAAAGAUAAAAAUAAAACCACAGGACACUACCUUGAUACACUUUAAAUCACAGAAUACUAAAAUAAGAAAGUGCAAAAUUACAGGGGUGGCAUUUAAAGUUUACCUGCGCACGUGAAUGUUGUGGGUAUCGAACAAACCAAUGUCCUCGUGGACCCCAGUGACCCCACCUAACUUUUUUGUAAUAUAGCAAAUUGACAAGGGCUAAAGUGCAUGAUUUUUUUCUCUUAAAAAGGAAUUUCAAAAAGAAAAAAGAAAGAAAGGUUCACGUACGUGUCCAGCCUCAAAGAAAACGUGGGUUUAUUUGUAAAUUUUGUUUUUUUCCCACUUACAGAGGAUUCAUCUGGUAUCAAGGUUUAUCUGACGCUGAUAAAUAAUAAAAUAGAGUUAAAAAGAAAUGGAUAAUUGUCUAUAUACCUCUCAUACGUUUGAAAAUAUUCAAUUUAUUUUUUUUUUCUUUCUAAAAUAUUUUUCAUAUGUUCCACCGUUAUUGCAAAAUACCUCUGCAGUUAUCUCUUGUUAAGUUAAUUUAGGUUAAACGUGAGUUAAAUAUCUACCACAGUUAAAAAAAAUUAAAAUGUCAAUUUUGCCCUUAACUUAAGAGCAAAUAAAAAAUGUUGGUGACGGUAGAAGAGUAUAUUGGAAAAGACCAAAAGUGAAAAUACUUUUUAUGCCCCUGACUUUAAGGGCAAAUAAAAAAAAUAGUAUAUUUGAAAGGACAAAAUAGUAAUUUUACAAAAAUAAAAGAGUUCAUUAAUAGAUUUUAACUCUAGGGUAUAUUAGAAAUAUGUUGAAACAUAGAAAUGGUAUUUUUAAUAUUAGCCUUCUAAGAGGGGUAAAUUGAAAAGUCGAAAAUUUUUCAAGAAUAUAUAAGCAAUUGCCCCUAAAAGAAACAUAUAUAAAAAAAAAUAUAUGGUUUUUUAUUUUUUAAUAGAAUCAUAAAAAUUAUACCGUAAUCAUCUUAUUACAAUAUAUGAAGAACGUGAUAUUAUUAUGUAUAUAAAUAAAUAUAGUAUAUUUUUAAUGAAUAUUUUUAAUUCAUGCACCGCCAUUUCUUCGUAAUCCGAAACGAAGCCC
rnacentral:lncRNA from 1 species